rnacentral:rRNA from 1 species
GAUGAACGCUAGCGGCAGGCCUAACACAUGCAAGUCGAGGGGCAUCAUGGCGUAGCAAUACGCUGAUGGCGACCGGCGCACGGGUGCGUAACGCGUAUGGAACCUACCCACCGCAGGGGGAUAACCCGCCGAAAGGCGGACUAAUACCCCAUGGUUCCCCGACCCUGCCUGGGGUUGGGGGUAAAGCCUACGGGCGGCGGUGGAUGGCCCUGCGUGCCAUUAGCUGGCUGGUGGGGUAACGGCCCACCAGGGCGACGAUGGCUAGGGGGUCUGAGAGGACGAUCCCCCACACUGGUACUGAGACACGGACCAGACUCCUACGGGAGGCAGCAGGUGAGGAAUAUUGGUCAAUGGGCGGAAGCCUGAACCAGCCAUGCCGCGUGCAGGAUGACGGCCCUACGGGUUGUAAACUCCUGUCGAGGGGGAAGAAGGCACCUGGGUUAAUAGCCAAGGGCUGACGGUACCCCAGACGGAAGCCACGGCUAACUACGUGCCAGCAGCCGCGGUAAGCACGAGAGUA